rnacentral:precursor_RNA from 1 species
GUUGAAUACGUGACAAAAUCCUGUAAUAUAAACAAUAUCAUGAUUUUGUCAAGUAUUUCGC